rnacentral:rRNA from 1 species
AAUGAACGCUGGCGGCAUGCCUUACACAUGCAAGUCGAACGGCAGCAUGACCUAGCUUGCUAGGUUGAUGGCGAGUGGCGAACGGGUGAGUAAUGCAUCGGAACGUGCCUUUUAGUGGGGGAUAACGUAGCGAAAGUUACGCUAAUACCGCAUAUUCUCUGAGGAGGAAAGCAGGGGACCUUCGGGCCUUGCGCUAGAAGAGCGGCCGAUGUCGGAUUAGCUAGUUGGUGAGGUAAAGGCUCACCAAGGCAACGAUCCGUAGCGGGUCUGAGAGGAUGAUCCGCCACACUGGGACUGAGACACGGCCCAGACUCCUACGGGAGGCAGCAGUGGGGAAUUUUGGACAAUGGGCGCAAGCCUGAUCCAGCCAUGCCGCGUGAGUGAAGAAGGCCUUCGGGUUGUAAAGCUCUUUCGGCUGGGAAGAAAUCGCACUCUCUAAUACAGGGUGUGGAUGACGGUACCAGCAUAAGAAGCACCGGCUAACUACGUG